UGGGGAAUUUUGCGCAAUGGGCGAAAGCCUGACGCAGCAACGCCGCGUGGAGGAUGAAGGCCUUCGGGUCGUAAACUCCUGUCGAUGGGGACGAAAGCCCAGCAAUGGGAUUGACUGUACCCGUUGAGGAAGCCACGGCUAACUCCGUGCCAGCAGCCGCGGUAAUACGGAGGUGGCAAGCGUUGUUCGGAAUUACUGGGCGUAAAGGGCGCGUAGGCGGCUUGACAAGUCAGAUGUGAAAGCCCCGGGCUCAACUCGGGAAUUGCAUCGGAAACUGUUUAGCUUGAGUUCUGGAGGGGGUAGUGGAAUUCCCAGUGUAGCGGUGAAAUGCGUAGAUAUUGGGAGGAACACCUGCGGCGAAGGCGGCUACCUGGACAGUGACUGACGCUGAGGCGCGAAAGCUAGGGGAGCGAACGGGAUUAGAUACCCCGGUAGUCCUAGCUGUAAACGAUGGGCACUUGGUGUUGGGGGUAUUGAGUCCCUCGGUGCCGGAGUUAACACGUUAAGUG
rnacentral:rRNA from 1 species